ACAUGUUAUCAUAAGCAGGUACACGAAAGUAAGUAUAUUACUGGUGUGUUAUUAGCAUAUCAACUGUAAAAAAAUUCAAUCGAUCGCGAUAAAUAUCGCUCGAUUCCAAAGAUUAUAUGAAAUAUAAUAAUAUACAAGAUGUAUACAUGAAGGAUUUGAUGUUUUCUUUUAUGAUUAACUAGGAAAUUUCCAAAUCCUGUAUAUCUUGUGAAUAGCUUUUUAGAUUUUGAGCGAAAUGACAAAUGUAUUGAUUUAAUACGAAGCGUAUUUAUUGUAUU